rnacentral:tRNA from 3 species
GGAGAGAUGUCCGAGUGGCUUAAGGAGCACGCCUGGAAAGCGUGUGUAGGGGCAACUCUACCGAGGGUUCGAAUCCCUCUCUUUCCGCCA